GUGAGCCGAGAUCGUGCCACUGCACUCCAGCCUGGGCAACAAGAGCGAAACUCCAUCUCAAAAAAAACAAAUUUUUUUGAUCAAUGUUAACACACGUACGCACCCGCAAAACCAUGACCAGGAGCAUCACGACUCCCAAAGCUUCCUCAUGAUUCUUUGGAAUCCCUCCCUACAGCCCCUCCCACCCCCCCCCAUCCCAAGCAGCCACUGAUUUGCUUUCUGUCACAGUCAGUAGAUUUGCAAUUUCCUUAAUACCAUGUCUGAGCCCAGUAGGCAAAUACUUUCUUUUUAUUGGGUGGACAUUUCGUGGCAUGUUCAAGCUUUUGAAUUCAGAGAGUGAGAGGAUGAGAAAGAAAAGGCUGGUCUGGGUCACUCCUGGGAGGCCUGGCCCUAAGCACCGUGUGGCUCAUGUGCCCUGGAGCCCCUGUGCACCGGUCAUCCCUGACUGCCCUGCCGCAAGCUUUAUAGCUCCCCCAUCACCUUUCCCGGACCAGCUGGUACAAUCUCAAACUUUUCACCAAUUCUGACAUCUAAACAACUAACGCCAGAGACAGGCUCUGUGGGACCAGCAGCUGCGACCUCACCUCCGGUCACUGGAACACUGAGCUGUUAAAUGAAAGAACCACAUCUCUGGGCUGGCUCUGCCCAAGGACACCACACCUUCUCCAUUCCUCUUGCCCUUUCCCCGUGGGGUGCAGGUGGGGCUGGGCCCACGAUGGCAUCAGGCCCACUCUCUCUAAUGCAGGAAGGGAUCAGAUGCCGGGAGCCAUGGAGAUUGUCCUCAUCCCGAUCAUCUCCCAGCUUAGCAAAUGAUGAUGAAGACAGUUUUCCCACAAGAUAGGCAUAGCCUCUGGGACAGUGCCUCGUUUAUUUUCUAGCACAAAAUAGACGUUAGAACAGUGGGGCUUUGUGGGCAUAUGGAGAUUUUUAAGGCUCCUUAGGAGGCAGGUAAAAAUUUCUUCAAUAAGACAAAACACUAUCCCCAAAGAAAAUGAUUGAUAAAUUGGAUGAUAGUAAAAUUAAGAAUUUUUUCAUCAAUAAGAGAGUAAAAAGAUGGGGCCGGGUGUGGUGGCUCACGCUGUAUCCCAGCACUUUGGG
rnacentral:lncRNA from 10 species